UACGUAGGGGGCUAGCGUUGUCCGGAAUCAUUGGGCGUAAAGCGCGCGUAGGCGGCCCGGUAAGUCCGCUGUAAAAGUCAAAGGCUCAACCUUUGAAUGUCAGUGGAUACUGCCGGGCUAGAGUCCGGAAGAGGCGAGUGGAAUUCCCGGUGUAGUGGUGAAAUGCGUAGAGAUCGGGAGGAACACCAGUGGCGAAGGCGGCUCGCUGGGCCGGUCCUGACACUGAGACGCGAAGGCGUGGGGAGCGAACGGG
rnacentral:rRNA from 1 species